UACGAAGGGGGCUAGCGUUGCUCGGAAUCACUGGGCGUAAAGCGCACGUAGGCGGCUUUCUAAGUCGGGGGUGAAAUCCUGGAGCUCAACUCCAGAACUGCCUUCGAUACUGGAAAGCUCGAGUCCGGGAGAGGUGAGUGGAACUGCGAGUGUAGAGGUGAAAUUCGUAGAUAUUCGCAAGAACACCAGUGGCGAAGGCGGCCCACUGGCCCGGUACUGACGCUGAGGUGCGAAAGCGUGGGGAGCAAACAGG
rnacentral:rRNA from 1 species